rnacentral:rRNA from 1 species
GAUGAACGCUGGCGGCGUGCCUAAUACAUGCAAGUCGAGCGAACGGACGAGAAGCUUGCUUCUCUGAUGUUAGCGGCGGACGGGUGAGUAACACGUGGAUAACCGACCUAUAAGACUGGGAUAACUUCGGGAAACCGGAGCUAAUACCGGAUAAUAUUUUGAACCGCAUGGUUCAAAAGUGAAAGACGGUCUUGCUGUCACUUAUAGAUGGAUCCGCGCUGCAUUAGCUAGUUGGUAAGGUAACGGCUUACCAAGGCAACGAUGCAUAGCCGACCUGAGAGGGUGAUCGGUCACACUGGAACUGAGACACGGUCCAGACUCCUACGGGAGGCAGCAGUAGGGAAUCUUCCGCAAUGGGCGAAAGCCUGACGGAGCAACGCCGCGUGAGUGAUGAAGGUCUUCGGAUCGUAAAACUCUGUUAUUAGGGAAGAACAUAUGUGUAAGUAACUGUGCACAUCUUGACGGUACCUACUCAGAAAGCCACGGCUAACUACGUG